rnacentral:rRNA from 1 species
UACCAGCACCCCGAGUGGUCGGGACGUUUUUAUUGGGCCUAAAGCAUCCGUAGCCGGUUCUACAAGUCUUCCGUUAAAUCCAGCUGCUUAACAGAUGGGCUGCGGAAGAUACUAUGGAGCUAGGAGGCGGGAGAGGCAAGCGGUACUCGAUGGGUAGGGGUAAAAUCCGUUGAUCCAUUGAAGACCACCAGUGGCGAAGGCGGCUUGCCAGAACGCGCUCGACGGUGAGGGA